AUGGCAAGCCACCAGCUACUCCUCUUCCAGCUGCUGCUGCUGCUCUCGUCGGCUUCCCACGCCCGGGACACCAUCUCGCCGGGCCAGCCGCUCAGGGGCAACGACACGCUGGUCUCGCCCGGCGCCGGCAGCUACGUGCUGGGCUUCUUCACGCCGCCGGGCUCCAACAACACCUACGUCGGCCUGUGGUACGCCAAGGUCCCCGUCCGCACCGUCGUCUGGGUCGCCAACCGCGCCGACCCCGUCCCGGGCCCCGUGGAGCGCAACGCCCGCGCGACCCUGUCCGUCUCGGCCGACUGCACGCUCUCCGUCGCCGACGCCAACUCCACCGUCGUCUGGUCGGCGCCCCCGGCGCCGGGCGCGGGCGCCGGGAGGUGCACGGCGCGAUUGCUCGACAGCGGGAACCUCGUCGUCUCCGACGCGAGCGGGCAUGUGGCGUGGCAGGGGUUCGACCACCCCACCGACACUCUGAUUCCGGGGAUGAGGGUGGGGAUGGACUUCGGCACCGGCGCGAACAUGACGCUGACGGCGUGGACGAGCCCCUCCGACCCGUCCCCGGGGCCGGUGGUCGCGGUGAUGGACACCACCGGCGACCCGGAGGUGUUCAUCUGGAACGGGGCGGAGAAGGUGUGGCGGUCCGGGCCCUGGGACGGGCUCCAGUUCACCGGCGUCCCGGACACGGCCACCUACAUGGGCUUCAACUUCAGCUUCGUCAACAGCGCCAAGGAGGUGAGCUACAGCUUCCAGGUGGCCAACUCGAGCAUCGUCUCCCGCCUCACGCUCAACAGCACGGGCGCCGCCGGCGGGCUGCUGCAGCGGUGGACGUGGGUGUGGGCGGCCGGCGCGUGGAACAUGUACUGGUACGCGCCCAAGGACCAGUGCGACGCCGUGAACCAGUGCGGGCCCAACGGGGUGUGCGACCCCAACAGCCUGCCGGUGUGCGAGUGCCUCCGCGGGUUCGCGCCGCGGUCGCCGGAGGCGUGGGCGCUGCGGGACAACCGGGGCGGGUGCGCGCGCGCCACGCCGCUCGACUGCGGCAACGGCACCGACGGGUUCGCGCUGAUGGCGCAUGCCAAGGUGCCGGACACGACGGCCGCCGUGGUGGACUACCGCGCCGGGCUCGCCGAGUGCGCGCAGCGGUGCCAGCGGAACUGCUCCUGCACGGCGUACGCCAACGCCAACCUGAGCGGCGCGCCGGGCCACCGCGGGUGCGUGAUGUGGGGCGGCGCGCUGGAGGACCUCCGCGUGUUCCCCAACUUCGGCCAGGACCUCUACGUGCGCCUCGCCGCCGCCGACCUCGAUGCUGCACCUAGCAAGUCCGAGAAGAAGGCGCACGUUAUAAUUGCAGUCGCUGUGAGCAUCUGUGCACUGGCAGCUAUUAUAGCACUUGUAGGGUUCUUCUGGUGGAGAAGAAAGAGGACAAGAGCAAGACAAUCAGUAGGAGCACCAAGUAAAUGGAGUGGUGUUUUGCACAGCAGAACACUAACGAGUGAAGGAACCAGUCAUGGGGCUGAUCUGGAUCUGCCAAUAUAUGAUCUGGAGACAAUAGCAGAAGCCACACAAGGCUUCUCAGCUGACAACAAGCUCGGUGAGGGUGGUUAUGGGCCAGUAUACAAGGGUACGCUUGAGGAUGGACAAGAAAUAGCCGUUAAGACACUUUCGCAGGCAUCGACACAGGGUCCCGAUGAGUUCAAGAAUGAGGUUAUGUUGAUAGCAAAACUCCAGCAUCGGAAUCUUGUUCGACUGAUCGGCUGCUGCAUUUGUGGACAAGAGAAGAUACUCAUAUAUGAAUACAUGGCAAACAAGAGCCUGGACUUCUUCCUAUUCGACAAAUCCAAGAGCAUGCUUCUCGACUGGCAAACUCGGUACCGCAUAAUCGAGGGGAUCGCCCGAGGUUUACUGUAUCUUCACCAGGACUCAAGAUACAGGAUCGUCCACAGAGACCUCAAGACAAGCAACAUCCUCCUGGAUAAGGACAUGACCCCUAAAAUUUCAGACUUCGGCAUGGCGAGGAUAUUCGGCGGCGACGACUCGGAGAUCAAUACGCUUCGAGUGGUCGGCACAUAUGGGUACAUGGCUCCCGAGUACGCGAUGGACGGAGUGUUCUCGGUGAAAUCAGACGUGUUCAGCUUCGGCGUCAUCGUGCUCGAGAUCAUCACCGGCAUCAGGAACAGGGGCGUCUACAGCUACUCCAGCCACCUAAACCUUCUAGCACAUGCGUGGAGCUUGCUGAGCGAGGGGAAGAGCCUGGAGCUGGUGGACGAGACCCUGAAGGGGACGUUCGAGUCGGAGGAGGUGGUCAAGUGCCUCAAGGUGGGGCUGCUGUGCGUGCAGGAGAACCCGGACGACCGGCCGCUCAUGUCGCAGGCGCUCACGAUGCUGGCCGCCGCCGACGCCGCGUCGCUGGCGACCCCCAAGCAGCCCGGCUUCGCGGCGAGGCGGGCCGCGGCGACGGCGACGGCCACGGCGACGGAGGACACGUCGUCGAGCAGGGCCGACUGCAGCUUCGUGGACAGCAUGACCAUCACCAUGAUCGAGGCGAAAAGAAAUCAAUGGAUGGGUGAUGAGGGUUGA
rnacentral:rRNA from 1 species